GCUGGUAUAGCUCAGUCGGUCAGAGCGGUAGACUGUUAAUCUAUAGGUCCGGGGUUCGAGUCCCUGUUCCAGCG